rnacentral:rRNA from 1 species
ACGGAGGGUGCAAGCGUUACUCGGAAUAACUGGGCGUAAAGCGCACGCAGGCGGUUGGAUAAGUCUGAAGUGAAAGCCCCGAGCUUAACCUUGGAACUGCUUUUGAAACUGUUAGACUAGAGUGUUGUAGAGGGGGAUAGAAUUCCAGGUGUAGCGGUGAAAUGCGUAGAGAUCUGGAGGAAUACCGGUGGCGAAGGCGGCCCCCUGGACAAAGACUGACGCUCAGGUGCGAAAGCGUGGGGAGCAAACAG